AGUCGAGCGGAUGACAGGAGCUUGCUCCUGGAUUCAGCGGCGGACGGGUGAGUAAUGCCUAGGAAUCUGCCUGGUAGUGGGGGACAACGUUUCGAAAGGAACGCUAAUACCGCAUACAUCCUACGGGAGAAAGCAGGGGACCUUCGGGCCUUGCGCUAUCAGAUGAGCCUAGGUCGGAUUAGCUUGUUGGUGAGGUAAUGGCUCACCAAGGCGACGAUCCGUAACUGGUCUGAGAGGAUGAUCAGUCACACUGGAACUGAGACACGGUCCAGACUCCUACGGGAGGCAGCAGUGGGGAAUAUUGGACAAUGGGCGAAAGCCUGAUCCAGCCAUGCCGCGUGUGUGAAGAAGGUCUUCGGAUUGUAAAGCACUUUAAGUUGGGAGGAAGGGUUGUAGAUUAAUACUCUGCAAUUUUGACGUUACCGACAGAAUAAGCACCGGCUAACUCUGUGCCAGCAGCCGCGGUAAUACAGAGGGUGCAAGCGUUAAUCGGAAUUACUGGGCGUAAAGCGCGCGUAGGUGGUUUGUUAAGUUGGAUGUGAAAGCCCCGGGCUCAACCUGGGAACUGCAUCCAAAACUGGCAAGCUAGAGUACGGUAGAGGGUGGUGGAAUUUCCUGUG
rnacentral:rRNA from 1 species